rnacentral:lncRNA from 1 species
UGUACCCAUGUAUCCCAAUAUUCCUUGUAUCCGGUCCUACCCAGCAGCUCCCCUGGUAGGAAUACUUUGAAAAAAAGCCGGAAACAGCCGUCCUAAUUUCAGGGUUGGAAUAGGAUCUAUACAUGUGUCAUGUGAGCUUUUCCCCUGGGAAGUUGUUGGAGGAAAAACAGACAAGAGGGAGAGUCAGUAGUUUUAACAUAAAAGGCCAAAGCAAACAUUUCCUUUAUCGAAAAGCAGUGCUGACUAUUGAUGUUUGACUGGGCGAGUCGUCUCCACAGGGAAGUUCUGUUCCUUUCUCUCCUCAAAGACCCACUGUCUCUUAUUAACACUGGAUUUACAGGAGGAGGAACUCUUACCCUACAGGAAGUCUGGGACUGUCUCUUAACACUGGAUAUACAGGAGGAGGAACUCUUACCCUACAGGAAGUCUGGGACUGUCUCUAACACUGGAUAUACAGGAGGAGGAGGAGGAACUCUUACCCUACAGGAAGUCUGGGCCUCACUGGAUAUACAGGAGGAGGAGGAGGAACUCUUACCCUACAGGAAGUCUGGGACUGUCUCUAACACUGGAUUUACAGGAGGAGGAACUCUUACCCUACAGGAAGUCUGGGACUGUCUCUAACACUGGAUUUACAGGAGGAGGAACUCUUACCCUACAGGUAGUCUGGGACUCACUGGAUUUACAGGAGGAGGAGGAGGAACUCUUACCCUACAGGAAGUCUUGGACUGCCUCCUCACUGGAUAUACAGGAGGAGGAGGAGGAACUCUUACCCUACAGGAAGUCUUGGACUGCCUCCUCACUGGAUAUACAGGAGGAGGAGGAGGAACUCUUACCCUACAGGUAGUCUUGGUCUGCCUCACUGGAUUUACAGGAGGGAGAACUCUUACCCUACAGGUAGUCUGGGACUGAGAUACCGUGACGAGAUCCUCAAGCCGAUUGUCGUGCCUUUCAUUAUCUCCGUGUUUCAGCGUGAUAAUUCACAGCAACCCCAAGUCGCAAGGAUCUGUACGCAAUUCCAGGAAGCUGAAAAAAUGUCCCAGUUCUUCCACGACCUGCGUACUCACCAGACAUGUCACCCCCAUUGAGCAUGUUUGGGAUGCUCUGGAAUCGACGUGUACGACAGCGUGUUCCAGUUCCCGCCCAAUAUCCAACAACUUCACACAGCCGUCGAAGAGGAGGUGGGGACAACAUCCAAACAGGACCACAAUCAACAGCCUGCUCAACUCUAUGUGAAGGAGACGUGUCGCGCUGCAUGAGGCAAAUAGUGGUCCCACCAGAUACUGACUGGUUCUCUGCCUCCACCCCCCCUUAAAAAAAUGUUUUAGGUAUCUGUGACCAACAGAUAUUCCCAGUAAUGUGAAAUCCUGGGAAUACAGCUUUGACUGCAUGCUAACAGUGAAUUCAGAGCCAUUCGGUAGCUUGGCUACACUACAAACGUAAAUAUUCCCAGGGUCCUGUGAAACACUAGUAAUCAACAGUCCGCCACAGUUUCACUGAUUCGCUGAAAGGGUUUUAGUCUGUGUUUUAAUUUCAUUGGGUAUUAAGAAACACAGUUAGUUGUCACGUCCUGACCAAUAAAAAAGGGUUUAUUUGUUCUUAUUAGUUUGGUCAUGGACUUCGGCAGGGGGUGUUUGAUUCAUGUGGUUCAGGGUGUGUUUGAGUGUGUGUUCAUGUAGAGGGGGGUAUUUGAUUUAUGUGGUUCAGGGUGAGUAUGUUUUCAUGUAGAGGGGGUAUUUGAUUUAUGUGGUUCAGGGUGUGUUUGAGUAUGUGUUCAUGUAGAGGGGGGUAUUUGAUUUAUGUGGUUCAGGGUGUGUUUGAGUAUGUGUUCAUGUAGAGGGGUGUUUGAUUUAUGUGGUUCAGGGUGAGUAUGUGUUCAUGUAGAGGGGGUAUUUGAUUUAUGUGGUUCAGGGUGUGUUUGAGUAUGUGUUCAUGUAGAGGGGGUAUUUGAUUUAUGUGGUUCAGGGUGUGUUUGAGUAUGUGUUCAUGUAGAGGGGGUAUUUGAUUUAUGUGGUUCAGGGUGUGUUUGAGUAUGUGUUCAUGUAGAGGGGUGUUUGAUUUAUGUGGUUCAGGGUGUGUUUGAGUGUGUGUUCAUGUAGAGGGGGUGUUUGAUUUAUGUGGUUCAGGGUGUGUUUGAGUGUGUGUUCAUGUAGAGGGGGUAUUUGAUUUAUGUGGUUCAGGGUGUGUUUGAGUGUGUGUUCAUGUAGAGGGGGUAUUUGAUUUAUGUGGUUCAGGGUGUGUUUGAGUGUGUGUUCAUGUAGAGGGGGAAUUUGAUUUAUGUGGUUCAGGGUGUGUUUGAGUGUGUGUUCAUGUAGAGGGGGUAUUUGAUUUAUGUGGUUCAGGGUGUGUUUGAGUGUGUGUUCAUGUAGAGGGGGUAUUUGAUUUAUGUGGUUCAGGGUGUGUUUGAGUAUGUGUUCAUGUAGAGGGGGUGUUUGAUUUAUUAGUCCGGGUUUUUUUUUUUGGUUAGUUCUAUGUUGUUAGUUCUAUGUCUGUGCUACGGUAUUGUAUUUCUAUGUUCAGUCUAGUCGUUUGUAUUUCUAUGUUUAGUUAAUUGGUGUUGGGGCCUUCAAUUGGAGACAGCUGUCUAUCGUUGCCUCUGAUUGAAGGUCCUAUAAUUAGGAUUGUGUUUGUUUUUGGGGAAUUGUGGGAGAUUGUUUCUUGUAUUGCUGUGCGUUGCCUACAAGACUGUUUUGUCGUCAGUUUAUCGUUUUUUUCGUGUGUUUGUUUCGGACAAAAUAAAAUAAAAAUGAGGCAUUCACGUACCCCGCUGCGCUUUGGUCCAUCGAUUACGACGACCGUUGACAGUUUGAAACUUUCGCAAGUGAGGAACGGGUAACCAAGGUAACCUCCCGGGUAAAAACGAUGUCUGAGGUUGCAACCGUAACCACCGGGGGGACCGGGGUUAAGCGA